UACGAAGGGGGCUAGCGUUGUUCGGAAUUACUGGGCGUAAAGCGCGCGCAGGCGGUCUUCCAAGUCAGUGGUGAAAGCCCGGAGCUCAACUCCGGAACUGCCAUUGAAACUGUUAGACUUGAGGACGAGAGAGGUGAGUGGAAUUCCCAGUGUAGAGGUGAAAAUUCGUAGAUAUUGGGAAGAACACCGGUGGCGAAGGCGGCUCACUGGCUCGUUUUCUGACGCUCAGGCGCGACAGCGUGGGGGAGCAAACAGG
rnacentral:rRNA from 1 species